rnacentral:rRNA from 1 species
AGAGUUUGAUCCUGGCUCAGAACGAACGCUGGCGGCAGGCCUAACACAUGCAAGUCGAGCGCCCCGCAAGGGGAGCGGCGGACGGGUGAGUAACACGUGGGAAUUUUCCUCAAGGUACGGAACAACUCAGGGAAACUUGGGCUAAUACCGUAUGAUGCAGAGAUGCCAAAGAUUUAUCGCCUUGGGAUAAGCCCGCGUCAGAUUAGGUAGUUGGUGGGGUAACGGCCUACCAAGCCUGUGAUCUGUAGCUGGUCUGAGAGGACGAUCAGCCACAUUGGGACUGAGACACGGCCCAAACUCCUACGGGAGGCAGCAGUGGGGAAUCUUGCGCAAUGGACGAAAGUCUGACGCAGCCAUGCCGCGUGAAUGAUGAAGGUCUUAGGAUUGUAAAGUUCUUUAGCCUGUGACGAUGAUGACGGUAACAGGAGAAUAAGCCCCGGCUAACUUCGUGCCAGCAGCCGCGGUAAUACGAAGGGGGCUAGCGUUGUUCGGAAUUACUGGGCGUAAAGCGCGCGUAGGCGGUUAUGCAAGCCAGAGGUGAAAUGCCUGAGCUUAACUUGGGAAUUGCCUUUGGAACUGCAUGGCUUUGAGGACGAGAGAGGUGAGUGGAAUUCCCAGUGUAGAGGUGAAAUUCGUAGAUAUUGGGAAGAACACCGGUGGCGAAGGCGGCUCACUGGCUCGUUUCUGACGCUGUAGCGCGAAAGCGUGGGGAUCAAACAGGAUUAGAUACCCUGGUAGUCCACGCUGUAAACGAUGAGUGCUAGGCGUCGGCACGCUUGCGUGUCGGUGCCGCAGCUAAC